CCUGCAUUCUCGAUCCCACAUGUAAAUAGCACGGUGAUUUCAAAAAGACAUUGAUACAUCAUUACAACACUUGCCGUCAGUGUUUGAAUAUAUUGAUUAAGAAGGUUGUCAGCAAGAUGAAAAGGACAAGUAUGCAGUUCAAAAUUCAAAAUGUGGAUAAGUUACCUUUGCAGAUUUUCAUACUUUGCAUGAAUGAAUUCAAAGGUUAUAUGAUGGACAGCAGAGAAAGAAAAAAAAAACUUUUCAAUUAUCCUGCUCCUGGAUAAAUGUAAAACAUCUUGUUCUUCGAAAGAUUGAAAUUCACCACCUAGAAUACAUGGAGAAAAACAUUGAAACAAGACCAGAAUAAAUUCAAAGACAAAAGUUGGAUCAGUUAUUAUUUUCAUCACUCUGUCAAUGAUUUGAAGUUCUUUUAAAUUCAAAAAAAAUAUUGAAACCACAAUAAUGUCAAAGUUUUGUGCUGAAUGUCCAAAAAGUGGACUAUACCAUCAAACAAUGCUGGAUAAUAAGAAACUAUUAAUGUUUUGUGUUGAGGGAUAUUGUGAAAAAAAUAGAUUUACUUAAAUAGCUACUAGUAUGUUAAGCCUAACAAUAGAGUUUUUAUUGAUUUCAAAUGGCAAAUAAUUGUGUUUCAAGAAAGUAUUCUAUAAUUCAUGAAUAAACAUAUAUUGAUACUUACAUUAUCUGCUUUGUUGUUUAAAAGUUUAGUUUUGAACAGUUAAAGAACAAUAUGCUAAAUUAACAUUUCCCAAGAAAAAAAGAUAUUCAAUUAAAAAGAUU